rnacentral:rRNA from 1 species
UUACCGAGUUUACACUCCCAAACCCCUGUGAACAUACCACUUGUUGCCUCGGCGGAUCAGCCCGCUCCCGGUAAAACGGGACGGCCCGCCAGAGGACCCCUAAACUCUGUUUCUAUAUGUAACUUCUGAGUAAAACCAUAAAUAAAUCAAAAACUUUCAACAACGGAUCUCUUGGUUCUGGCAUCGAUGAAGAACGCAGCAAAAUGCGAUAAGUAAUGUGAAUUGCAGAAUUCAGUGAAUCAUCGAAUCUUUGAACGCACAUUGCGCCCGCCAGUAUUCUGGCGGGCAUGCCUGUUCGAGCGUCAUUUCAACCCUCAAGCACAGCUUGGUGUUGGGACUCGCGUUAAUUCGCGUUCCUCAAAUUGAUUGGCGGUCACGUCGAGCUUCCAUAGCGUAGUAGUAAAACCCUCGUUACUGGUAAUCGUCGCGGCCACGCCGUUAAACCCCAACUUCUGAAUGUUGACCUCGGAUCAGGUAGGAAUACCCNACAGAACUUAAGCAUAUCAAUAGGCGGAGGAAC